rnacentral:rRNA from 1 species
AUGACGCUGAGGAAGAUCCCAAGGGGCAAGACGGGGUUCUUCGGCGCUAGGGCGAAGCCCUCGGGCAACUUCGGGGUCGAUUUCUCCGACGCCGACCGCCGCUUUUGGCUCGGCACGUACCCCACCGUCCACGAGGCCGCGCGUGCCUACGACGUGGUGGUGUGGCGUGCCGGGAGGCCGAAGAAUGACCUCAACCUCCCAGAGAGCAAGACCCAGUGCCGUGACAUGGCGGCGUUGGCGUUCUACGACCUCUACUUCCAGCGCUCGUACGCCUUCGACAUCAUGCCCCCAGAUCUGUCCUCUGGUAGCCGGUACAUCUACACCCGCGCCCAGGACAACGACAAGGCGGAGCGGGCCAUCAUCACCACCAGCGUCCUCGGCGCCGUGGACGCCGACAGGGCUGAUCCGGUUGUCGGCCGCGACGACGAGAUCGAACGCGUCGGCUGCAUCCUCUUCCGCCGCACCAAAAACUGCGCCGCGCUCGUCGGGCCGCCGGUGCCUGCACUCGAGCGCCAGUUCCAGAAGGUUGUCGUCGAGGAGCCGAGCGUGCUGGCCACCAUUGACAUCCUAAGAGGGCUGAAACAGUUCUACCAAGAGCACCAUGGCUUGAAAAUCCAGGACGAUGCACUCGUUGCUGCAGCACAUCUCGCUGCCCGAUAUAUUACAGGUGGCCAGUUUCCUGACAAGGCAAUUGAUUUGAUCAACGAGGCAUGCUCUACCGCAAAGAUGCACAAAGUGGACAAUAACAUGAUUACCUCUAUAUUUGCACCCAAGGAGUUAACUGUUGGCCCGACUCAUAUCACAAAGGUUCAGAAACACUUCAAGCCUGAGUUUCUCAACAGACUGGGUGAGGUUGUGAUAUUUGAGCUGCUUUCACAUGAUGAACUGAAGGAAAUAGUGAAAAUCCAAAUGAAGGAUGUCAUUGCCACAGUAGCUAAUAAGGGUGUCUCUCUAUUUAUAAAUGACGCCGCAUUGGAUGCCAUUUGGUCGGAAUCAUACAGUCUAGUGGGUGGCACAAGACCCAUGAGGAGAUGGGUGGAGAAGAAUGUGAUGACAAUUCUUUCGAACAUGUUGGUGAAUAGAGAAGCUUGUGAAGGCUCCACAAUCUCCAUAGAUGCCGCAGAUGAUAACAGGGGGCUGAAGUACCAAAUACUGAAGAAGGGAGUCAUAGAUCCAUAA